rnacentral:lncRNA from 1 species
CCGGGGAUGCCAACUGCUGACAAAAUGAGCCACAAACUGGUGACUCAUUUGGUCAAAGAAGAAGAUUGUACCUGGCUUCAAUGUCGAUUACCAAUUCCUGGCUGCUCCCUUCAAGGUAGACGGGAAAGCUCGAUACAGGAUGGCGUCUGGCGCGUCAUGGAGCAGCAUCAUGGUCCGAAAGGCCUCCAGGUGGUCGAUCAGGUCCGAGGUCCCGUCGUAGCUCUCGAAUUGGGGGAGCUUGAAGUUCGG